rnacentral:rRNA from 1 species
CCUACGGGUGGCUGCAGUGAGGAAUAUUGGUCAAUGGCCGGAAGGCUGAACCAGCCAUUCCGCGUGAAGGUCAGUGCCCUAUGGGCGUUAAACUUCUUUUGUACGGGAGCAAUAAUGGUCACGUGUGACCAGACGAGAGUACCGUACGACUAAGCAUCAGCUAACUCCGUGCCAGCAGCCGCGGUCAUACGUAGGGGGCAAGCGUUAUCCGGAUUUACUGGGUGUAAAGGGGGCGCAGGCGGCAGCGCAAGACAGGAGGGAACGCCCGGGGCCCAACCCCGGGAUUGCGAUUGGGACUGCGCGGCUGGAGUGCAGGAGGGGGAGGCGGAAUGCCAGGUGUAGCGGUGAAAUGCGUAGAUAUGAGGAGGAACACCGAUGGCGAAGGCGGCCUGCUGGAAUGCGACUGACGUUGAGGCACGAAAGCGUGGGGAGCAAACAGGAUUAGAUACCCUUGUAGUC